rnacentral:lncRNA from 1 species
UCCGCAAAACUUCGAAAUUCAGCUGGAACGAGGAGUGCGAGCAAAUCUUCGGCCAGCUCAAAGAAUUCCUGUCCUCGCCGACCGUCAUCCAAAAGCCCCGCCUAGACCUACCCAUAGUAGUCUACUUAGCGGUAUCGGAGGAGGCGGUCAGUGCCGCCCUUGUCCAGGAGGUAGAUCGCGAAGAACACCCGGUAUACUUUGUCAGCCGGACGCUCCAUGCAGCCGAGACCAGGUACCAAAUGAUAGAGAAG